GCCCCGGUAGAUGUAUCAUGAAGCUACUAAGGUUGUAAGCCUGUCGGUGGGCGUACAUCCAAGGGAAUGUUAAAACAGCGACUGUGAUGGGAGAUGCCUUAAUGAAUAGGCUUUCGGACGCGGGUUCAAUUCCCGCCAGGUCCACUU
rnacentral:tmRNA from 1 species